UGCUAGGCCACUUCUUCAAAUCGCCUUUCUCGCCCCACAGCCACCACCCUAACCCAGGUCACAACCAACUGGAUGCUGGACUUUGCCUCCACCCUCAACAUUCCAGGAUCCUCUCCAGAUGGGAGCCAAGCUGGCACAGAUCCAGGGAGAGCACCAACAAGCCUGCCCAAGGCCUCUUGAGGCCCGCAGACCCUGGCCUCUCUUCGCCACCUGUCCCGGCUCAGAUUUGUCUGUCUCUUUACCCCAUCCUUCUCGCUUCUUGCAGUUCCUCCCAUCACACUAAUUUCUUUUUAAAUUCUCUUUAGGUAUCAAUGACUUGGCUGGGAGUGUAACUCAGCGGUAGUUUGCCUAGCAUGCAUGAGGACCCAGGUUUGGUCUCCAUCACCACCAAAAUAAGCAAAUGGCAGCUGUAUUGAGACAUGAUCCAUAUGCCUUCAAGUCUACCCAUCUGUAGUGCCCACUUCCGUGUCUUGUUAGUAUGUCCCCAGAGUGCAACAUUGGGACUCAGCACCUGCCACACCCAGGGAGCCUGUGCUCACAGUUAUCCAGCCAUCACUCCAUGCCCCUGGCCCUGGCAACCCCUCACCUACUUGCUCGCUCUGUGGAUUUGGCUGUUCUGGACAUUUUGUGUAAAUGGAACCAUAUAAUGUGUCUUUUGUGACUGGCAUCUCUCACCUAGCAUAAGGAUCUCAGGGCACAUCCCUUCUGAAACACACAUCACUGUGCUAGCCCUCUCCAUGGCUGAAUAACAUUCCAGCCCAUGUCCGCCCACGCACAGCUGAGGGCCAUCUGGGUUGUGUCCAUCUUUUGGCUAUUGUGCACAUGCUUCUGUGAACAUCUGCAUAUGACUUUGUGUGGACAGUGUCAUUUCUCCUGGGUAAGCACCUAGGAGUGGACUAGCUGUGUCAUGUCGUAACUCUUGAGCCAUUUGACUCUAUCCACAACAGCUGCAUCAUGUGACACACCCACCUACAG
rnacentral:lncRNA from 1 species